UCCUGGGCGAGAGGGGCGGCCGCCUUGAGCCCGCUCCCCAGAGGCCCGAGGAGAGGCCGAGCCGCCCGCGCCCCGCGCCCUUCCUGCCGGGGGCCCGCCCCGUCUGUCCCCGACGCCUGCGCAGCCCACCCCGCCUGCCCCAGACGCUGCCCCGCCGGCUCCCGUAAACCAGCCCCCAGGGGGUGUCCACGGUGCUGCCGCCUCUUCACUGGCAUUUCGGUGCCGGCGGUCACUGGCUGCUCCCAUGUGAUUCUCAAGCCUGAGCCCCUUCCAGCAGCAGGAAGGUGUGUGUAGGCGGGGGAAGAGAAAGCGAACCCCCAGGGAAAGGGGGCGUGGUUCGGCUGAGUUUUUCAGAGCUGGGGAGAGGGCAGGAGGUAGAUGCGGAGGAAAGGAGCACCUUUCUCAGUCUUCCCUUCAUUCUUUGAAUUUUACUGAGCACCUACUACGCGCUGUGAUAGAGGCUUCAGAACCCAGUAAGACAUGAACCGGCUCCCGAUGGGAGCGCAGUGUUGGGGGCUCCGGUUUGAAUCCUGGCUUCACCCCUCUCAAAGCUGUGGAAUCUGGGACCAAGGACCCGCUGUCUCUAGGUCACGAUGCCAUCACGAUGUAAUGGCAACACAUCUGGACAGGACAUUAUGGAACAAGAACACACAACUCUGCUUGGGCAAGGGCCAGAGGAGAGGCUCGGGAGGCUUGCCCGGGAAAGGUGAUGUCCUCUUGAGUGUCAGAGGGGUUGACCGUAGGAGAGGGGGGCACAAGACAUGCCUGCAGGAUAUUUCUCCAGGGUCCCCCCAGAUUUCACAGGCCGCAUCAGUGGGGUCAGGGAAGCACAGAACAUAGGCCUGCCUCUGCCCAUCUCACCGGCAAGCCCAGUGAGGCUGGGAGAGGGAAGCCUGUGUUUUGCAGAAAGGCUGAGCAUAGGACUCAGAAUGUGUGAACUUGGAAUCCAGCCUCUGUUCCUCCAUUUAUUCACAGCCCUGACUCUGGAACCAGGAAGUUACCCAGAGGCACAUUUGGGGUCAGCGGGAAGAACUCGAACAGGCAGAUUUGCCCAUGGUGGACAGGGCCAGCCUCGUGCAGUAAUGAGCUCCCUGUCACUGAAAGCUAGCAAGUAGAGGCUGGAGCACUGUUAUUAAAGAUGUGGCAGAGGCUGGGCAGGAUGGCCUCUGAGAUCUCCUGGCCCAGUGUCAGGCCUGGGCCUCAGGUGAGGCCUUGAUGAGCCGGAGCUCACUGUGGAGCCCCACGGUGGAUGUCGUGAUCACCGUGAACAUUUGCCUGGUGCUUCUCUGGGUUGCUAGGCUUUCACAUACGCCUUGGCUCAUCCCAUUUUUGCCCCCCCCCCCCCAGGGGUGUCCUCAGAACAGAGCAAGCAAACCCCCCCAUGCCACAACGCUCAGAGAAGCAAGCAAACAGCCAAGGAGGUUUCCUCUGGGCAAGAGGACAUGGGGUGAGGAUACUUCCGCUUUUCAUUUUUUAUCUCUCUGGAUUGUGGGAAAUGCUUACAAUGAGCUGUACAAAAUUACUUCCACAAUUUUUUUUGAAUGGCUAAAAAGAGGCAAUGGAAAAGGAUGGGAAAACAGUAUGGAGGUUCCUCAGAAAGUUAAAAACAGAACUACCCUACAACCCAGCAAUUGCACCACUAGGUAUUUACCCAAGGGAUAUGGGGGUGCUGAUUUGAAGGGGCACAUGCACCCCGAUGUUUAUAGCAGCGCUAUCAGUAAUAGCCAAGGUAUGGAAAGAGCCCAAGUGUCCAUCGACAGAUGAACAGAUAAAGAAGAUGUGGUAUAUAUAUACAAUGGAGCAUUACUCGGCAAUCAAAAAGAAUGAAAUCUUGCCAUUUGCAACUACGCGGAUGGACCUGGAGGGUAUGACGCUAAGCGAAAUUAGAGAAAGAUAAAUAUCAUAUGACUUCACUCAUAUGUGGAAUUUAAGAGACAAAACAGAUGAACAUUAGGGAAGGGAAACAAAAAUAAUAUAAAAACAGGGAGGGAGAUAAAACAGAAGAGACUCUUAAAUACAGAGGACAAACAGAGGGGUGCUGGAGGGGUUGUGGGUGGGGGGAUGGGCUACAUGGGUAAAGGGCAUUAAGGAACACACUUGUGGGGUGUUAUGUGCAGGGGAUGAAUCACUGGAACCUGCUGUUGAAAUCAUUAUUGAGCUAUAUGCUAACUAACUUGGAUGUAAAUUAAAAAAAUAAAUUAAUCGAUUAAUUAAUUAAAUUUAAAAAAUAAAAUAAACAUUGGGAAAGAGAAAGAAAAGUAUGGGCUCUUGUGCCAGAAAGAUAAUGGCCAUCUUAGGAGAGGUGUGGCCUUGAACAAGCACAGGGCCUCUCUCAGUCUCGGUUCCUCCCCCCGAAGCUGAAUGCCCACUUUUCAAGACUGUGUUUGGGGUGAGAUUCAGUAAUGAUACUACAGUCAUACUAAUUUCUUUCUAGUGCCUCUCGUGCCGAGUAUUUUCAUUUGCUUUACUCAUUUAAUCUCACCACCAUCCCGAGAGGUGGGAUUUUUGUCCCCGUCUCCAGACGAAAACUAAAGUUGAGAGGAGGGGUUAGACCAACAACCGAUGAAUGGCCAGACUUUGCCUAGAAACCGGGCCUCCUAAAUCCUACCUGGCGCUCAGACGCAGGAGUGAAGAUUUACAUCGAUUUGUGUGCACCUGCCUGAGUGCCAGGAGCGGCCAAGCCCAGGCAAAACUUUGAACCCCUACGAUGGUCCAGGCACUGCUCUAGAUGCUGGAGAUACGGAAAUGAGUCGCCAGACAAAAAUCCCCGUCCUCAUGGAGCUCACACUCCAGGAGGGGAGACACAACAAACAUAGUGGCCGCGUGUUGUUCAGUAUCAG